UUAAUUAAAUCUAUACACUAUUUGAUACACGAAAUUGGAGGAGCUAAUUAUUAUAUAUUUAUAGAUCACAAGGUGUUGCAGAACUUAGAAAUAAUAAUUAGGAGUGAUAGACUUAUCAAUUCCAAUGAUAGCUUGAUUACCAUUAAAUGUAUAAGUACAACAACACUUUCAAAAUGAUAAGGUUUUGAAAGAUAAAUAAUGUACUUGAAUUUUAUAAUAUUUUGUUUAAUCACUAAUAUUUUGAUAAUCUAUAAUAAAUUGAGCUUGCUUGUUUUUUGUAGUGGUAAAUAGGGAAAUAAUAUAUAUAUAUAUAAUGUUAAUAUUAGUAACUUUAAAUAUAAAACAUGAACUCGGCAAUAAGUCUUUUAACUGUUUAUCAAAAACAUAGCUACAUGAAUUAAUAUGUGGUAAUUUCUGCUCAAUGAAGUUUAAAUAGCCGCAGUACUCUGACUGUGCUAAGGUAGCGCAAUCAAUUGGCUUUUAAUUGGAGUCCUGUAUGAAAGAAAACAUAAGGGACUACUUUAUUUUUUGUAAUUAAUGAACUUGCUUAAAAAGUGCAAAAACUUUUAUAUAAAUAAUAGACGAGAAGACCCUAGAAAUUUUGCCGCAAAACGUUUUGUUGGGGCAACAUAGUAGCAAUACAACCUACUUAAAAUACACGAAAGCUAUAUUUUGUAAGAUUAAAUUACUCUAGGGAUAACAGCAUAAUUUACAAAAGUUUGUGACCUCGAUGUUGGAUUAGGGUAUUAACAUUAAAAG
rnacentral:rRNA from 1 species